AGUUAAUACACCGCUGCACCCAACCCACAAUUUAAUUCCCUCCUUUUUCGGCCAACAAGGCUAUAAAUUUCGGCCGCUUGGUCAAAUCGAAUAGAAUCGGCAGCAAGCUUUUAAUUGUUCCGGCAAUCGAUCCAAGUCCCCAGUUCUCUUCUCGAUCAGGCGGUUCUGUUCCAACAUGAAAGCAGACAUAUUUCUCGUCUCCUCCAUUGCCGGCGCGGCAUUUUUUGUUUCCACUACCAUCAUCUAUGACCUGUUAUCCGCAUAUCGCUCUUAUAGAAACGUUUCAUUUGAGAAUGCGCAAAAGGCGAUAUCCGAUCGGCAAGAGGCCGAGAGAAUGAUAAAGUUGCUCCGAGGUUGCAUGCGUUGAAAUUCAUUGAAACGCUUGUUACGGCGCACAGGUGAUGUGCGAUUUGGCGAUUUGGGAUGAUUUUAGAGAUAAUGUGAACUGACAUUUUGAUCGGUUUUACUUUUUUUUUUUUUUUCUGUUUCUUCUUUCUGAUUGAGAUUUUGAUGACUUCUGUUUGAUGAUUGGCGUUAGGGAAUAUUUUGGAUGUUGAAUAACAUUGGAGUUUGGGAAUUUA